rnacentral:rRNA from 1 species
GACGAACGCUGGCGGCGUGCUUAACACAUGCAAGUCGAACGGAAAGGCCCUGCUCUUGUGGGGUGCUCGAGUGGCGAACGGGUGAGUAACGCGUGAGUAACCUGCCCUUGACUUUGGGAUAACUUCAGGAAACUGGGGCUAAUACCGGAUAGGAGCUCCUGCUGCAUGGUGGGGGUUGGAAAGUUUCGGCGGUUGGGGAUGGACUCGCGGCUUAUCAGCUUGUUGGUGGGGUAGUGGCUUACCAAGGCUUUGACGGGUAGCCGGCCUGAGAGGGUGACCGGCCACAUUGGGACUGAGAUACGGCCCAGACUCCUACGGGAGGCAGCAGUGGGGAAUAUUGCACAAUGGGCGGAAGCCUGAUGCAGCAACGCCGCGUGCGGGAUGACGGCCUUCGGGUUGUAAACCGCUUUCGCCUGUGACGAAGCGUGAGUGACGGUAAUGGGUAAAGAAGCACCGGCUAACUACGUG